UUGAGAAAAAAACACAGUUUGAUUGGUACCCCCGGUAUACAAUGAAAAUUUACCUGUUUAGUAACAAUAUUAUUACAGUGGUAUUGUUAAAGAAUCAGGCUAUAACAUGUACAAAAAAUCACUUAAAUCGGCCAACAGGUUUAGGAAAUAUGAGACAUCAAAAAUGACCAAAUUUUUAAGUGGGCCGAUUUCUAUGCACGUAAGUUUAGUAACACGCUAAUUAACCGUAUUUUGUUUAUCCUGCCAAGAAACCUACUGAUCUAGAACGUUUGCUGAAAAAAUUUACAGUGCAUAAUAAUUAAGAAUGCGUAUCAAGAAAACAAAAUCAAAAAUAUUUAUCCACUAAAAACCAGGAGGUAUCUGCUCUAAAAUACCGUCAUUUGGGUAAAUCGUGUAUGAUCCUAUUUUAUUUUUUGUUUUGUUUUGUUUUAAUCGCUUUGAAAUAUUAUUAACAAAUAUAAUUUCACUCUGCGGACACUUCAAAAAGGUGGGUUAUUUUUUUUAUUAAACAAUUUGUGAAAAAAAUUUGAAAAAUUCAGUUUUCUUUUCUCUUUUUCGUUGGGAUAUCUCGGCAACUAUGCAUUUUCGAAAAAUUUUGCGAAGACAAUAGGAUUUGAAAUUAAAUUUUCUUCAAGAUAGAUUUGAUUACAAAUUGAAAAAAUAAUUAUUAAUAUUGCAAAAUUAGCAAAAAUCGUUAAAAAUCAAUGCUUUUUCAAUAACCUUUUUCAGGUAUUUAAAAGCCACAAAGAACCUUCUAAAUUUACCCAGAAACUCUUUUUAAUAUAAAAAAUAUUGCUACAAAAGAUUUCAGCAUAAUCGAUCAAGUAGUUUUCGCAAAAUAAUUUUGCAAUCUAAAUUUUUGUAAAAAAAAAAGAAUGUGCGUGUACUUUGUACGCACGUAAGAAGUUAUACUUCUAUUAUAUGAUUUCAACGAAAUAAAUAUACUUUGAACAGGUUAUUUGUAUUUAAAGAUUAAACUAAUUUUUACUUACUACUUUCCAAAAAUUUUUACUAAAACAAUACUAAAAAUAAAAAAAAGUUGGAUAACACACGGAAUUGAACCAGGGACCUCUCGAUCUCCGGUCGAACGCGCUACCGCCGAGCCAAACUCCCUUUGCUUUGACAGCUUACAAGAUUUCUCAUACAUACUGACAAAUUCAAUAGACCAAGUGAAAAAAUACUUUAAAAUUUAAAGUAAAUAUACAAACUAUUAUUAUAAAAUAUUUUAUUCCCGAGGAAGACAAAUCCAAAGACACAAAAAUUAUAAUAAAUAAUACAUUUACUAAAAACACUAAUAUAUUCUUUUAAUGACUUAUUUGCGCUGAUACAUACGUAAUUUGAAAGAUUAGCAACGAACUACAUAUUGUCUGUCUGCGCAUGCGCCAGGCAAGUAUAAAAUUUCACCCUCGAUCGUAAAGAAGUAUAACUUCAAAAAGUUAUUAAUUUUGAAAAUUAUGAGAAACCAAACAAAGAGUUAUAAAAUACUUGAAAAAAUUUUUACAUGUAAAAGGGCAUUCAAGCUUUUAUAUAAAAUUCGAAUCAAUGAAACCCGUUGAAUAGGAGAACCUAUUUUUUAAGGGGAAUUUUUUAAAGAACUAUAAAAUUUUUAAGCUAAUAAAUAAAUAGAAUAGCUUUUUCAAUUUUAAAUUAACAUUUCUAAACUUAUAUCGAAAGUUCAGCGAAAGACGCAUAUUUAAAAAAACAUUAAAAUUGGUAAAUUAAUUCCAAAGUUAUGAUCAAAGUUGACUAGCAUUUAAAGUAAAUAUUAAUUUCUUACUUCGGAUACUUUCACAAUUAUCUUGUAGAUGGCGCUAAGAUUAAUAGAUUAAUUUUAUAAUUACAUAUUACGGAACAUUAAAAAAACUUAAAUUCAGUAUUUAAAACGUAAUUAUAUUUAAGGUAAAAAUAUAUACCACAGCUUUGACCAACUAAUAUUUUUUAUAAUUAAUGUUUUUAUUUUUAAUUUUAAAUUAAUCACUUUGACAUUUAUGUCAAAUUUCCAGUAAACGUUUACAGACUUGUCACUACUGGCGCUCGCGAAUUGUUAAAUAUCCACUCUACGUACGAGCUCACAGCGUAUAGGAUAUACACAUUAAAAAUACAGAAAAAUCGACGAGAGGCAGUGGUGGAGAUAGUAAUUUCAGUUUUCUCAAAAAUGAAAUCAUGAGUUCAAAAUUGCGACGGGCUUAAAAAUUUCAAUUAUUUCAGUUUUUAGACGACCUAUUUUAAGCAUUUUUUUUUCAAAUUUGGUCUCGUGAGUUAACUUUUAAACAUGAUACUUUUAAAAGCGUAUACUUAUUUAUUUGCCAUGAUUUUACGUAUAAAUGAAUAUUCACUUGCAAAAUUUUGUAUUUUUCCUUUUUUUUCGUUCGUUAGGGCUACAAUAUCAAUGUUAUAUGUAGUAUUGUUUAUCAAUUACUGUAAAUUAAUAUUAUAAUAAUAGGUAUGUUUUAAUAUUUUAAAUCUUUAAAUUUUAAAUAAAAGUAUUCAACUGAUUUCAAUGAUUCGACAUUUAUUUGAAAGAUUUAUUGAUGUAAACAUUUUUAAGUAUUUAAAACCGUUUUUUUUUGUUGACUGUGCAUAAUUUUGCAAAAUAACUUUUUUCAAAACUUAGAUUACAAAAUUAUUUUGCGAAAACUGCUUGAUCGAUUAUGCUCAAAUUUUGGGUAGUUUUAUAUUAGAGCUAUUCCAGACCAAAUCAACACACUUUGAAUUAAUUUAUUUCCUGACCUAUUUAAAUUUUGUUAAAAUUUAGAGUACCUACUCACAGUGGAUGAUUAGUUGAAGAAAAAUACAAAAUUUUAAAUUUUUAUCUCAAACCGUUUCCGAAAUAUGGUUAUGUAAAGUUUUCAAAAAAGGUCCAAAACACCGCGACAAUACUUUAUUGGAAUGGUUGUAGAAGCUGACCUGAUUGAGCUAGAAUGCUGGGAGAGGUUUCAUUUUGCAACAUUUUUAAAGCUCUUUACAUGAUGCUCCGAUAAACAAGUUUUUCUCAAACAAAAAAAAUAUAUUUUGAUUAGGUUUUUUUUCCAAAAAGUACAUAAUUUAAAAUUAUCAUAAUAUUCCUAUAAAUACAUAGUACUGUUGUUAAUAACAUAUAAAAAUUUUAUCAUGGGAUGGUGAUGGGUUCAACAUAAAAAAAAAUAAAUUUCAUACAUACAGUAUGGUGCAAAUAAAAGGAAUAGAUUCGUGAUGUCGCAAGCUGGCAACUUUAAGGAAAAAUCCCAAAACAGGUCGAUUUUUAUUUUUAAAUUGUAAUUUUAUUUGGCAUAUGUAUCAUACUAGUGACGUCAUCCAUCUGGGCGUAAUGACGUAAUCGAUGAUUUUUUAAAUGAGACUAUAAGUCGUGUGUUAGCUCAUUUGAAAGGCUAUUUCUAUAUUCAGUAAUAUAAACAAUAAUAUAAUUAAAAUAUAAAGUUUUAUGGUAUACAUUUUUAUUUAAUAAUAUAAUUAUUUAUACAGGGUGACAAAGUUUUUAUUUAAAUUAAAUUGAUUGACAAAAAAAGAAGAAUGUAUGUAAUUUAUUUAAUUUAAAAUGGAUUUUACUGUUGCUAGAAACAGAUAAAUUACAUAUAUUCUUUUUUUUGUCAAUUAAUUUGAUUUAAAAAACUUUUUUGCCACCCUGUAUAAAUAAUUAUAUUAUUGUUUAUAUUACUGAAUAGAAAAUGGAAUAGCCUUUCAAAUGAGAUAACACAUGACCUAUACUCAUUUAAAAAUCAUCCAUUACGUCAUCACACCCAGAUGGAUGACGUCACUAGUAUGAUACAUAUGACAAAAAAUUACAAUUUAAAAAUAAAAAUCGACCUGUUUCGGGAUUUUUUCUUAAGGCCGGCCAUUGGUAAUGUUACAAGUAUAGGCGAUCCCAUCACCUUUAUAAAGUACACCACUCAUAAUCUAGAGCAUAUAUGUAUACCGAAAAAUGCUUACCCUACUAACAAUAUAUCUCGCUAAUUACAGCCAUAUUUUUGCUACCCUACCUGUUGUGUAUUGUUUAUAAAAAAAUGUGAAAGUUUUGCUUUUUUCUCAAUAAAUAUAAGAGCGUUUAUAUCUAAAUUACUCAAGUAUUUAAAUGAAUUUCAUGAUAAAAGUCCGUUUAGCACUAGCCUAUAUGUAACGGAAGGAUGUAACGUUAAAAAAAUGUGAAUUAAUAAAGUACUUUUUGCGUGGUGUACUUUUAAAAUAAAUUUCUGGAAUUAAUAGAAAUUGGCAUGUGAAACGUAAAUCUUGUACAUAUAAUACACAAAAAGUAUAGGAAUCUGUAAGAAUCUAAGCUCUGUUAAUGUAGCAAUUAUGUAUAAGAUGGCGCUACGAAAAAAAUUAAAUAAACAUCAAAAAUUCAGGAGCGUAAUGGCCCGUUUGAAACUUUCCUUAGGAAAUUUCGGUACUUGACAAAUAUGAGUUUAUUAGGGGUCCGGACAAAUAAUCCCCGGACAAAUAAUCCCGGACAAAAAAUCCCCACAAAUUAUCCCCGGACAAAAAUCCAAGGACAAAAAAUCCCCACAAAUAAUCCUCACAAAUAAUCCCCACAAAUAAUCCCCGGACAAAUAACCCCCACAAAAAAUCCCGGACAGAUAAUCCCCACAAUUUUUUUUUGACAAAAUAUCCCCGCAAAAAAUCCCCAAGAAAUAUUUUUGCCGAAUAAAGUUGUCAAAUGAAUGCUUAUAAUCCAAGGAUGGUACUAAAGAUGAGAAAUUUAGACUGUCUGUCCGUCGGUACGUCCGACCGCGCAUAUAACUACUCCGUCAUUAUGCCAGGUAGAAUGACACAUGAGGGGUCGAAUGAACGGUUAUAAUCCAACAAUGGUACUACAGAUGAGCAAUUUGGUCCGUCGGUCUGCUUGACCACGAAUAUAACUCCUCCAUCACUGUACCAGGUAGAAUGACAAAUGAGGUGUCGAAUGAAAGCUUAUAAUCCAAGGAUGGUACUAAAUAUGAGAAAUUAGACCAAGGCUGUCUGUCCAUCGGUCCGUCCGACCGCGAAUGUAACUACUCCGUCAUUAUGCCAGGUAGAUUGACAAAUGGGGUGUCGAAUGAACGGUUAUAUUCCAACGAUGGUACUAAAGAUGAGCAAUUUGGUCCGUCGGUCUGCCUGACCGCGAAUAUAAGUCUUCCGUCACUGUACCAGGUAGAAUGACAAAUAAGGUGUCGAAUGAAAGCUUAUAACCAAGGAUGGUACUAAGGUUGAGAAAUUUGACCAAGGCUGUCUGUCCAUCGGUCCGUCCGACCGCGAAUGUAACUACUCCGUCAAUAUGCCAGGUAGAAUGACUAAUGACGUGUCGAAUGAAUGGUUAUAAUCCAACGAUGGUACUAAAGAUGAGAAAUUUGAUCCGUCGGUGUGCCUGACCGCGAAUAUAACUCCUCCGUCACUGUACCAGGUAGAAUGACAAAUGAGGUGUCAAAUGAAAGCUUAUAAUCCAAGGAUGGUACUAAAGAUGAGAAAUUAGACCAAGGCUGUCUGUCCAUCGGUCCGUCCGACCGCGAAUGUAACUACUCCGUCAUUAUGCCAGGCAGAAUGACAGAUGAGGUGACGAGUGUACAGUGAACGGUUAUAAUCCAACCAUGGUACUCAAGAUUCACGCACGCAUUUCUUUUCCGAAAGUUGCACUUUCACGCACGACUUGCGGGAAAGUCAAAUACCUUGUAAUAUUGCAUUAUAAUAUAUUAUAAUACAUGCAAUAAACUAAUAUUGAAAGUUUGUUUUUGACAACCUUGUCAAAUAAUUGAUUUGUGUAUUUUCACUUCUAAAUAAAAAUUUUUUUGUGGCUUUUUCCAAACGUACGGCCCUAGAAUAAAUAUUAUUCCUAACUCGUGCGGAAAGUGUGUUCCUCGCACUCGAAUGCCUGCCCGAACUCCGCUAUCGCGUCGUUCGGGUCAACGACAGUCUCGUGCGUGAAAUUAUCACUUUCCGCACUAGUUAGGAAAAUAACUAUUUAAUGAUGUCGAUAUUUUCCAAGUUAUGGGGGGAAAUAGUGACAGUUAGAGGUUAGAGUUAGAGCAUAACUAUUGAAUUGUCUCGUUAAUUAUGAGUUUUACGACAAAAAUGUAGGUACCUAUAAUACAAAAAUAGAACUUAGUAGAUAGAAUUAACUUUUACAUAAUUUUGAAUUUUGAUCUCUUUCAUUUUUUUUACGAAUAUUUAAAAUUGUUUCAAAUAUGAUUUCCUACAAUUAUUUCUUUUUGACAAUUUUUUUCGUGCGGUUGAUAUUUUCCGAGUUAGCGGGAAUAUAUUAAAAAGGGGUGGGGGAGCAUAAUUAUUGAAUUGAAUCUUGUUUCCGAGCUGCCCCAAAUUUUAUAAUUCUAACCUUUAGGGGAGGUCAAUAGUGGUGUAAAUUUAAAAUUGCGACUGAAUUCCGCUGAAGGGUUAGCCGUCAUAUUGAUUUUAAAGGAGAACCGUUGAUGCUAAAUACCUCCACCAUUUUCAACUUUUUUGCUCUACUGCUCAUUAUUUAUAAUAGUUCCCAGGUAGCAAGACUGUUUAACGCGCUCUAUCUGAAUCUGCGUUCCAUUAGUGUGCAGAUGGGUUAUAGGUAUAGAUAGGGCUAUUAUAGCAAUCGCCAUUAAACCGGUUUUUGGUACGAAAAUAGUGAUUAGCAAUUAAAUUUAAGCAUGAAUUGUAAUUUCGAUUACCAAAUAUCGAAUUCCAAUUGUGAGUUCUUUCAAAAAUCGUGCAUGCAGCACUCUGCUUUGAAUAACCCUGUUCAAAACAUCCUAUUUGUGGUGAUAAUUGCUUGUCCUGAAAACGAUAAUCUUGAUUGUAAUACAAAAAAACCUAUUCAUUUUUGUAAUUUCAAAAGUAUUUGCUCAUCAUCAUCAUCAAUGGCGUUAUAACUCUUCGAGACUCUGCCACAUUUUUUAUUAUUUAAAAUCAAUACAGCUGCCCACGAUGUGAUAUUUGAUACCGUUCACGUUAUCAACACCAGUAAUAAAAAUUUAAUGUGUUUCUCGGUCGAUGAUCGAAAUGCCACAUCAGCGACUUGUUAAUUAUUGUGUUUUGACUGGAAUAAGAAUGUGAAUUUUAACCGAAUUUUUAACGUGCUAACAAAUUGCACAUACAAUUUUUUUUUGUUUAUGCGUAUUUUUUAUUAUAAUAAAUAUGUUGAUUUUCACCCAUUCGUGAGCAAAAAAUUGGUUGUUUUGACUUCUGAGUAAUACCAAAAAGUCAAAAAUCGUUAUAACUGAAAAAACUCGACAGAGUUAUGCUCGAUAAACUCAUAAUACUCAUAAAGCUAAUAAAAUAUUUUUGAUCUUUUCGUUUCACAUGAUUCACUGAGCGUUGGCUUAUUUUUUAAUAUUUUUCCUUAUUUUUUUUUUAAUUCAUUGAAUUAUAGCGUUGAUUGAGAUAUUAGAGGCCGUCCAAUAUAUCAAUCAACGAUUAUAGUGAAUAUGCUUAUUUAAUUUAAAAAUAAAAUAAUUCUAUCCUCUUCUUCUUGCUGUGCCUGUCCGUGACGAAUGUUGGCGAUCACCAUGGCAUGGCAAUCUUUAUUGUAUCUGCAGCAAUGCAGGAAAGCUUCACAUAUGCUGAGUUGAACCAGGUUCUGAGGUUCUUUAACCAGGAUGUUCUUCUUCUUCCUGGACCUCGCUUUCCAAAUAUUUUUCCUUGCAGAAUGGCUUGUAGGAGGGCAUAUCUGGAUUAAUUUCGCAUAAUGUGUCCAAAGUAUUCCAACUUUUGAGAUUUGAUGGUGGUUAAUACUUCUCGGUUUUUCCCCAUUCUUCUGUAAGGACCUCCUCAUUUGUGACCCGAUCAGUCCAUGGGAUUUUAAGAAUUCCAUUAUAAGUUCAAAAAAAAUUCAAAAAAAUAUGCUUGAAAUAUUUAUUUCAAACUCUAAGCUCACCCCACCUUAAGGAUAGCUAUGACACGAAUUUGAUAGGCAAGCCAUGCAAGUCGUUUUUGUCUAUGUAUGAAAUUUAAUAAAAAAAUGUCUCAUCCGGAAAGCAGAUGGGUGCAGGUCGACCUAUAUUCGGAUCUUAGACUAUAACGUAUAUGUAUAUAUGAUAUUUGAGUGAUAUAAUUUCGUAGAGUUUUGCUAUCAGCCGUUGAUGAUUUGCUGAUGAACGCUACUCGUGUUAUUUCUUUCAGUUCAUGUUCACAAGAGCAUGUGUUAACAAGUAAUUGGACUUCGUAAGUCCUAGGUUUUCAUCCAAAGUAAUCGAAAGUAGAACUGGAAGUCGAUAUUUUAACUCUUCGUGUAACUUUGCGUCGAUUCAUAUACGAUUUUACUAAUUUUGGAUCAUAUUCAUUUACAUUAAUAUCAUACUUUGAGUCACUUUAAAACAGAUACUUGCGGUUGCAACUCUAAAACUGAAGUCCGAUGUUAAAUUACUCAUCUUGUGUUAAAUUACAUACCAUCCUUGUGUUAUAAUCUUUUAUUCGAAACCUCAUUAUUUGUCAUUAUAUCUGUAUUAAUACGGAGGAGUUGUAUGUAGGAGGACAGACGGAAAGACACUCAUGAAACCGGAAGUACAUAUAUGUUCUCGCCUUGCGAAGGCUCGUCGAAUAAUAUAUCACUUUUACUAUUCCGGUGACUUUAAAACAGUAUUUCCGGUCCCAUUUGUAAAACCGGAAGUCCUUUAUCAAAUUUCUCACCUUUAGUACCAUCCUUGGAUUAUAAGCUUUCAUUCGACACCUCAUUUGUCAUUCAACCUGGUAUAGUGACGGAAGAGUUAUAUUCGCGGUCGGACGGACCGACGGACAGACAGCCUUGGUCAAAUUGCUCAUCUUUAGUACCAUCCUUGGAUUAUAAGCUUUCAUUCGACACCUCAUUUGUCAUUCUACCUGGUACAGUAACGGAGGAGUUAUAUUCGCGAUCAGGCAGACCGACGGACCAAAUUGCUCAUCUUUAGUACCAUCGUUAGAUUAUAAUCGUUCAUUCGAAACCUCAUUUGUCAUUUUCCCUGGCAUAAUGACGGAGAGAAGUUACAUUUGCGGUCGGACGGACAGAUGGACAGACAGCCUUGGUCAAAUUUCUCAUCUUUAGUACCAUCCUUGGUUAUAAGCUUUCAUUCGACACCUUAUUGGUCAUUCUACCUGGUACAGUGACGGAGGAGUUAUCUUCGCGGUCAGGCAGACCGACGGACCAAAUUGCUCAACUUUAGUACCAUCGUUGGAUUAUAAUCGUUCAUUUAAAACCUCAUUUGUCAUUUUCCCUGGCAUAAUGACGGAGAAGUUACAUUCGCGGUCGGACGGACAAAUGGACCGACAGCCUUGGUCAAAUUUUUCAUCUUUAGUACCAUCCUCGGUUAUAAGCUUUCAUUCGAAACCUUAUUCGUCAUUCUACCUGGUACAGUGACGGAGGAGUUAUAUUCGCGGUCAGGCAGACCGACGGACCAAAUUGCUUAUCUUUAGUACCAUCGUUGGAUUAUAACCAUUCAUUCGACACCUCAUUUGUCAUUCUACCUGGCAUAAUGACGGAGUAGUUACAUUCGCGGUCGGACGGACAGAUGGACAGACAGCCUUGGUCAAAUUUAUCAGCUUUAGUACCAUCCUUGGAUUAUAGGCUUUCAUUCGACACCUCAUUCGCUAUUCUACCUGGUACAGUGACGGAGGAGUUAUAUUCGCGGUCAGGCAGACCGACGGACCAAAUUGCUCAUCUUUAGUACCAUCCUUGGUUAUAAGCUUUCAUUAAAUGUUCUAAACAUUAAUUACAUUUUCAUUCUAAAUUAGACAAUUAGACAAAUUUGAGUGAUAUAAUUGUUCUUCCCUGGUAUAAUUUUAUAAUAUUGGGACAUGAGAAGUAGGUAACAAACUAUGAUGAACCAAUAUGCGAAAUAGAUUUUUCCAAUACUUUUGGUUUAGAUUUUACCACGAGAUACGAGCACAGUAUUUAUCCGAGUAAAAUUUUCAGCGAGACCCCGUCCUUAAACCUCCUAGAAAAUGAAAAGUUCGCACCUCAUAUAUAAAACGAUUUCGAGUCAUCUUAGCGAGACCGCACCUGCAUACCUCUCUGUACUGAAACUAAACUAUCAGCUGACUAUAAAGUCUGGAGUCCGCGGCUUCGCUUAGAUAUCUAUUGCGUUAUUUCUCCGAUAGAGGCAGCAUCUCUCGGGAAAGAAUCUUUUCUCUCUGUUGCACUGCGACUUGGGGACCUCUCUUUCAUACAACGGCCGGCCUUAAAGAUGCCAGCUUGCGACAUUACGAAUUUAUUCCUUUCAUUUGCACCAUACUGUGUGUGUGAAAUGUAUUUUUUUAUGUUGAACUUAUCACCAUCCCAUGAUAAAAUUAUUAUAUAUUAUUAACAACAGUACUAUGUAUUUGUAGGAAUAUUAUGAAAAUUUUAAAUUAUGUACUUUUUGGAAAAAAACUAAAAAAACUUAUCAAAAUAUUUUUUUUUGUUUGAGAAAAACUUGUUUAUCGUAGCAUCGUGCUGUAUAAUAUUAUAUCACUGUAAAGAGCUUUAAAAAUGCUGCAAAAUGACACCCCUCCCAGCAUUCUAGACUAAUCAGGUCAGCUUCUACCACCAUUCCAAUAAAGUAUGGUCGUGGUGUUUUGGACCUUUUUGGAAAACUUUACAUAACCAUAUUUCGAAAAGGGCUUGAGAUAAAAAUUUAAAAUUUUGUAUUUUUCUUUCACUUAUUAGCCACUAUGAGUAUUCCAAAUUAUAACCAAAUCUGAAGAGAGGUCGAAAUUAGGUGUGUUGAGUUGAUAUGAAAUGACCCAUUAGAAAUAUUUUCUGGGUAAAUUUUGAAGGUUCUUUGUUGCUUUUACAUAAGUGAAGAAUAUUAUUGAAAAAACAUUAAUUUUUUAUCUGUUUUUAAUGGUUUUUGCUAAUUUUGCAAUAAUAAUAAUAAUUUUUGCUAUUUUUAAUCAAUUCUGUCUUGCAGAAAAUUUAAUUGCAAAACUUUUUUGUUUGUACAUUCUUUUUCUAAAAUAACUGCUGAGAAAUAUCAACGAAAAGAAGAAAAAUAAAAUGUGUGUGGACUUUGUACGCACGUAAGAAGUUAUACUUCUAUUAUGUGAUUUCAACGAAAUAAAUAUAUUUUAAACAG